GAUGAAGAACGUAGCGAAAUGCGAUACUUGGUGUGAAUUGCAGAAUCCCGUGAACCAUCGAGUCUUUGAACGCAAGUUGCGCCCGAAGCCACUAGGCCGAGGGCACGCCUGCCUGGGCGUCACACGCCGUUGCCCCCCCAUCUACUCCUUCGGGCUUGCGGGGGGGCGGAUGAUGGCCUCCUGUGCGCCUAGCCGCGCGGUUGGCAUAAAUACCAAGUCCUCGGCGACGCACGCCACGACAAUCGGUGGUUGCGAAACCUCGGUUGCCCGUCGUGUGCGUUCGUCGCGCAUCGAGGGCUCGAAAAAAUGCUCGGCUCCGGCUGGGCUUUCAACGCGACCCCAGGUCAGGCGGGGUUACCCGCUGAAUUUAAGCAUAUCAAUAAGCGGAGGA
rnacentral:misc_RNA from 1 species